rnacentral:rRNA from 1 species
UACGUGAGUAACCUGCCCUUGACUCUGGGAUAAGCCCGGGAAACUGGGUCUAAUACUGGAUGCUACAUGUCACCGCAUGGUGGUGUGUGGAAAGGGUUUACUGGUCUUGGAUGGGCUCACGGCCUAUCAGCUUGUUGGUGAGGUAAUGGCUCACCAAGGCGACGACGGGUAGCCGGCCUGAGAGGGUGACCGGCCACACUGGGACUGAGACACGGCCCAG